GUGGCUCACUUUGGCAGCACACAUACUAAAUUGAAGCAAUACAGAGAAAAUUUGCAUCGCCCCUGUGCAAGGAGGUCAUGCAAAUUCCUGAAGCGUUCUAUAUUUAA